rnacentral:rRNA from 1 species
UGCAACCUGAACUCAGGCGUGAUUACCCGCUGAACUUAAGCAUAUCAUUUAGCGGAGGAAAAGAAACUAA